AUUGAACGCUGGCGGCAUGCCUUACACAUGCAAGUCGAACGGCAGCGGGGACUUCGGUCCGCCGGCGAGUGGCGAACGGGUGAGUAAUGCAUCGGAACGUACCCGGAAGUGGGGGAUAACGUAGCGAAAGUUACGCUAAUACCGCAUAUUCUGUGAGCAGGAAAGAGGGGGAUCUUCGGACCUCUUGCUUUCGGAGCGGCCGAUGUCAGAUUAGCUAGUUGGUGAGGUAAAGGCUCACCAAGGCGACGAUCUGUAGCGGGUCUGAGAGGAUGAUCCGCCACACUGGAACUGAGACACGGUCCAGACUCCUACGGGAGGCAGCAGUGGGGAAUUUUGGACAAUGGGCGCAAGCCUGAUCCAGCCAUGCCGCGUGAGUGAAGAAGGCCUUCGGGUUGUAAAGCUCUUUCGGCCGGGAAGAAAUCGCAUGGAUUAAUACGUUGGACUCAUGACGGUACCGUAAGAAUAAGCACCGGCUAACUACGUGCCAGCCGCCGCCGUAA
rnacentral:rRNA from 1 species